rnacentral:rRNA from 1 species
UACAGAGGUCUCAAGCGUUGUUCGGAUUCAUUGGGCGUAAAGGGUGCGUAGGUGGCGCUGUAAGUCGGGUGUGAAAUCUCGGAGCUUAACUCCGAAACUGCAUUCGAUACCGCCGUGCUUGAGGACUGGAGAGGAGACUGGAAUUUACGGUGUAGCGGUGAAAUGCGUAGAUAUCGAGAGGAACACCUGCGGCGAAGGCGGGUUGCUGGGCUGACACUGACGCUGAUGCGCGAAAGCCAGGGGAGCGAACGGG